UACAGAGGGUGCGAGCGUUGUCCGGAAUCACUGGGCGUAAAGGGCGCGUAGGUGGCGAGCCAAGUCCAUGGUGAAAGCUCGAUGCUCAACAUCGAGUCGGCCACGGAUACUGGUUCGCUUGAGCACUGUAGAGGCUAAUGGAAUUCCGGGUGUAGCGGUGGAAUGCGUAGAGAUUGGGAAGAACACCGGUGGCGAAGGCGGCCAACUGGACCACAACUGACGCUGAGGCGCGAAAGCGUGGGGAGCAAACAGG
rnacentral:rRNA from 1 species